GACGAACGCUGGCGGCGUGCCUAAUACAUGCAAGUUGAGCGAUGAAGAUUGGUGCUUGCACCAAUUUGAAGAGCAGCGAACGGGUGAGUAACGCGUGGGGAAUCUGCCUUUGAGCGGGGGACAACAUUUGGAAACGAAUGCUAAUACCGCAUAACAACUUUAAACAUAAGUUUUAAGUUUGAAAGAUGCAAUUGCAUCACUCAAAGAUGAUCCCGCGUUGUAUUAGCUAGUUGGUGAGGUAAAGGCUCACCAAGGCGAUGAUACAUAGCCGACCUGAGAGGGUGGUCGGCCACAAUGGGACUGGGACACGGCCCAAACUCCUACGGGAGGCAGCAGUAGGGAAUCUUCGGCAAUGGACGGAAGUCUGAACGAGCAACGCCGCGGGAGGGAAGAAGGGUUUCGGAUCGUAAAACUCUGUUGGUAGAGAAGAACGUUGGUGAGAGUGGAAAGCUCAUCAAGUGACGGUAACUACCCAGAAAGGGACGGCUAACUACGUG
rnacentral:rRNA from 1 species